rnacentral:rRNA from 1 species
GAAAGUAAGCAAGGGCGCAUGGCGGAUGCCUUGGCUCUCAGAGGCGAUGAAGGACGUGAUAAGCUGCGAUAAGCUGCGGUGAUUGGCAAAUACGAUUUGAUCCGCAGAUUUCCGAAUGGGGCAACCCGCCGGACUGACGGUCCGGCACACCUGCAUUAGGUGGGCUAACGUGGGGAACUGAAACAUCUUAGUACCCAUAGGAGAAGAAAAUAAUAAUGAUUCCCUUAGUAGUGGCGAUCGAACGGGGAGCAGCCCAAACCGUUAUUGUUUUGGCAAUAGCGGGGUUAUAGGAGUAUAUCUGAGCUAUAGUUUAGUCAACUGGAAGUGUCUGGAAAGUCACACCAUAGACAGUGAUAGUCUGGUACAGGUACGCUGGAGCUAUAGUGAUAUACCACCUGAGUAGCGCGGGACACGUGGAAUCUUGCGUGAAUUUGCGGGGACCAUCCCGUAAGGCUAAAUACUUCUGAGAGACCGAUAGUGUACUAGUACUGUGAAGGAAAGGUGCAAAGGACCUCGAACAGAGGAGUGAAAUAGUUCCUGAAACCAUGCGCUUACAAGCGGUCGGAGCCCUUUUUGUGGGGUGACGGCGUGCCUUUUGCAUAAUGAACCUACGAGUUACUGUUGUCGGCCAGGUUAAGGUGUUCAGCACCGUAUCCGGAGCGAAGGCGAGUCUUAAUAGGGCGUUUGAGUCGGCGGCAGUAGACGCGAAACCAAGUGAUCUACCCAUGGUCAGGCUGAAGUUUGGGUAACGCCAACUGGAGGGCCGAACCGCAAAACGUUGAAAAGUUUUCGGAUGAACUGUGGGUAGGGGUGAAAGGCUAAUCAAACUUGGAGAUAGCUCGUACUCCCCGAAAUGCAUUUAGGUGCAGCCUUGGGAGUUUCUUAUGAGAGGUAGAGCGACUGAUUGGAUGCGAGGGCUUCACCGCCUAUCAAGUCUUGAUAAACUCCGAAUGCUCAUAAGUUAUCCUGGGAGUGAGGGCAUGGGUGCUAAGGUCCGUGUCCGAGAGGGAAAGAACCCAGACCAUCAGCUAAGGUCCCCAAAUGAUACCUAAGUUAUAUGAACGAAGUCAGAUUGCACAGACAGCUAGGAUGUUGGCUUGGAAGCAGCCAUUCAUUUAAAGAGUGCGUAACAGCUCACUAGUCGAGGAGUUUGGCAUGGAUAAUAACCGGGUAUAAGGUAUCUACCGAAGCUAUGGAUUUUAUUAUGGUAGGGGAGCAUUCCAUUGUCGUUGAAUGUGAAGCGUGAGCUUUGCUGGAGAUUAUGGAAACGCAAAUGUAGGUAUAAGUAACGAUAAAGGGGGUGAGAAACCUCCUCGCCGAAAGACUCAGGAUUCCUGAUCAACGUUAAUCGGAUCAGGGUUAGUCGGGCACUAAGGAUAAGCCGAAGGGCGAUUCCGAUGUCAGAAUCGGUUAAUAUUCCGAUACUGGCUUUAUGAGUGACGUGGAGACGGAGAAGUGACAGUGUCGCCAACUGACGGAAUAGUUGGUUAAAGGGUGUAGACGUUGAUUGUGGCAGGCAAAUCCGCCGCGAGAGUUGAACCUGAUAGUACCGAGAGCCCUUGUGGCGAUCGGAUAGUACAUGUAAACAGGCUUCCAAGAAAAUCCGCUAAACAUAUCAUAGAGUCACCCGUACCUCAAACCGACACAGGUAGUUGGGUAGAGUAUACUAAGGCGCUCGAGUGAAUCACGGUUAAGGAACUAGGCAAAUUUGUCCUGUAACUUUGGGAGAAAGGACGCCACAGCGAUGUGGUCGCAGAGAAUUGGUCCAGGCGACUGUUUAGCAAAAACACAGGGCUAUGCUAAAUCGAAAGAUGCUGUAUAUGGCCUGACACCUGCCCGGUGCCGGAAGGUUAAGAGGAGAUGUUAUCGUGAGAGAAGCAUUGAAUUGAAGCCCCGGUAAACGGCGGCCGUAACUAUAACGGUCCUAAGGUAGCGAAAUUCCUUGUCGGGUAAGUUCCGACCUGCACGAAUGGUGUAACGAUCUGGACGCUGUCUCAACCGUGAUCUCGGUGAAAUUGUAGUAUCGGUGAAGAUGCCGAUUACCCGUAACGGGACGGAAAGACCCCGUGAACCUUUACUGCAGCUUAACAUUGAGUUUGGGUAUCAGAUGUGUAGGAUAGGCCGGAGACUGUGAAUCAGGUACGCUAGUACUUGUGGAGUCAUCCUUGAAAUACGGUCCUUUUGUUAUUUGAAUUCUAACCCGCGUUAUUUUGUGGGGACACUGUUUGGUGGGUAGUUUGACUGGGGUGGUCGCCUCCAAAAGAGUAACGGAGGCUCCUAAAGGUGCGUUCAGGCCGAUUGGUAACCGGUCGUAGAGUGUAAUGGCAUAAACGCGCUUGACUGAGAGACCUACAAGUCGAUCAGGUGGGAAACCAGAGCAUAGUGAUCCGGUGGUUCCGCAUGGAAGGGCCAUCGCUCAAAGGAUAAAAGGUACUCCGGGGAUAACAGGCUGAUCAUUCCCAAGAGCUCAUAUCGACGGAAUGGUUUGGCACCUCGAUGUCGGCUCGUCACAUCCUGGGGCUGGAGAAGGUCCCAAGGGUUGGGCUGUUCGCCCAUUAAAGUGGCACGCGAGCUGGGUUCAGAACGUCGUGAGACAGUUCGGUCCCUAUCUGUUAUGGGCGUAGGAAAUUUGAGGAGAUCUGACACUAGUACGAGAGGACCGUGUUGGACGAACCGCUGGUGUAUCGGUUGUUUCGCCAGGAGCACUGCCGAGUAGCUACGUUCGGACGGGAUAAGCGCUGAAAGCAUCUAAGCGCGAAGCCUACUUCAAGAUGAGAUUUCCCUUAAGGGUUGUGGUAGACUACCACGUUGAUAGGCUGCAGGUGUACAGGUGGUAACAUCAAAGCCGAGCAGUACUAAUUGCCCGUGACUUUUUUG